rnacentral:rRNA from 1 species
AGGGUUUGAUCCUGGCUCAGGACGAACGCUGGAGGCGUGCUUAAUACAUGCAAGUCGAACGAACUCGACCUUCGGGUCAUAUGAGUGAGUGGCGAACGGGUGAGUAACACGUGAGAAACCUGCCUCGAAGUUUGGGAUAACCCAGGGAAACUCGGGCUAAUACCAAAUACCUUCUGAGAACCGCCUGGUUCAUAGAAGAAAGAUUUAUCGCUUUGAGAGGGUCUCGCGGCCUAUCAGUUAGUUGGUGAGGUAACGGCUCACCAAGACAUCGACGGGUAGCUGGUCUGAGAGGACGAUCAGCCACACUGGGACUGAGACACGGCCCAGACUCCUACGGGAGGCAGCAGUAGGGAAUCUUGCACAAUGGGCGAAAGCCUGAUGCAGCGACGCCUCGUGGGGGAUGAAGGCCUUAGGGUCGUAAACCCCUUUCAGUAGGGACGAAAAUGACGGUACCUACAGAAGAAGCUCCGGCCAACUACGUGCCAGCAGCCGCGGUAAGACGUAGGGGGCGAGCGUUGUCCGGAUUUAUUGGGCGUAAAGGGCUCGUAGGUGGUUGCGUAAGUCGGAUGUGAAAACUCAGGGCUUAACUCUGAGACGCCAUCCGAUACUGCGCUGACUUGAGUCCGGUAGAGGAGUGUGGAAUUCCUAGUGUAGCGGUGAAAUGCGCAGAUAUUAGGAGGAACACCUAUUGCGAAGGCAGCACUCUGGGCCGGUACUGACA